UCAGCAAAUGAGAGACAGUGAUGAUGCUCAGGCUGUCUCCUGAAAUGAGUACCAUCUGGGGAAAAGAAAAAGUCUAAAUUCAACAGGACUGAUUUUUUUUUUCCCCACUAAUGAACUAAAGCCAAGUUUUGUGCCUGUCCUGCUGCAUCUUUCCAGAAAGAAGCUCUUUAGUCCCGCGAGAGGGGCCACCUUUCCGGCCAGAUAAAGGAGAAGUUCCAGGAAUGCCUGGAGGGACAUUUGCAGUUUUCCCUGGGAUGCAGUCACCAUUUUUCACUGGGCACGUUAGAGACCUGCGCGCAUCCCCGCCUGCCAAGCGCCAGUCGUCCCUCCCAGCAUCGUGACCACCAAAACAUCUUCAUCCUCCAGUUGGACAGCAAUGUGAACGUACUUAAUAACGCCGAACUGUAUGCUUCAAGUGUUAAGAUGG